UCUUUGCUUGCGUGUUACAGCGGUGCGCGUGUUACAGCGGUGCAUAUUAGUUUAGUCCAUGAUUUUGUUAUGUCCCUUUGAACUCGCCAUUGCUCAUUGCGUUUAUCCCUCUCCUGAUUGUUAUUCCAGAGUGGAAGGAACUGCCUGCACCUCCUUUGUUUCUGCGGUAACGUGCGGGGAGGAAAUUUAAGCCAUUGCUGCCAUCCGGGGUUGUGAGGACUGACCUGAAGGACCUUCCCUCCAUGAUGGUCACGGUGGAAUCCAUCCUGAUAACACAGAUGCUCCUCCCCAUGCUGACUUGGGCAACGAAAGCCACUGCCCCGCCACGGGAGUGAGAGGAACUGACCUGAACAUCGCCUUCCUGCUUGCUGUAGGGAAAGCCUCUGCUGCUGGCCCUGCUGGAGAAAGUCUACCGUCUACGUCAUUGUGCACCGGUACCCAAGACGGCCAGGUAGCUGGGAACACAAGCCACCACAGGAAGUCUGCACCCACGCGGUCAUUCUCCAAAAUGGCGCAUCGAGUCGGUUGUUCCCUGAAUCCCCUGCAAAGCCCUCUCUCUGUGAUGGCCACGGUGGAAUCUAACAUGAUGGCACAGCCGCUGGCGAGUGUUGGAGUCUGACUACUCUCUGGCCCUGAGCUCGAGACUUCAGAUGAAGCCAGACAACCGAAUAUCUCCCCUGCUCCUCCCCGCGGUGCUUGCCUUGCCUUGCCUUGCCGAGUGUACAAGGUUGUGCACAACUAUAGCGACGGAAUGGAUCACAUUAUACACUUGGGUGCCGAUGAACACUGCUAUUACCCGACAUACUGGCCCGUCUCGUUGCUCGCCCCUGACCACUGCAACC